AGGGUGUGUGUGUGUGUGUGUGUGUAAAAUAUUUAUUGUGGUAAUAAUCCAAAAUAAUAUUUAUUUAGAGUGAGCUUAUGCACUGGUCACCUUGGCAAGGAAUCCGUGCAAUGCACAAACGGGUUCGUGAUGUCAGAGGAAUCCAGCCUUGCUACAGGAAUGAUGUGGCUCUAAUAAUGAGAGAACUUGAUGCCAGUGGUCUUCUUAGAAGAUGUCCUGGGAAAAAAAGGAUUGAACGUAGGAACUACUUCAGCCAUGGACCAAAUUACACUUGGCAUAUUGAUGGAAAUGACAAAUUGAAAUUCUUUGGAAUCUGG